rnacentral:rRNA from 1 species
UACGUAGGUGGCAAGCGUUGUCCGGAUUUACUGGGCGUAAAGAGCGCGCAGGCGGUCGAAUAAGUCGAAUGUGAAAGCCCCCGGCUCAACUGGGGAGGGUCAUUCGAUACUGCUCGACUUGAAGGCAGGAGAGGGUAGUGGAAUUCCCGGUGUAGUGGUGAAAUGCGUAGAUAUCGGGAGGAACACCAGUGGCGAAGGCGACUACCUGGCCUGUUCUUGACGCUGAGGCGCGAAAGCGUGGGGAGCGAACAGG